UGCCGACUGGAGUGUACGCUAACAAAGUGUAUAUCCUGAGCCGAUAAUCUUAUCUAAGGAUUUGGAUUCAAUGCUUUGUUGAGCAGGCCUGCAUCUUAAUGAUGAAUCAGGAAGCCGUAAUAAGUGUUAUCCCUUUCCGCCUUGAACUUCACGGUUCAUGGUUCCCCUUUGUGGCGGCACUUUGGUUCUUUU
rnacentral:other from 1 species